AUCGAACGCUGGCGGCAUGCCUUACACAUGCAAGUCGAACGGCAGCACGGGAGCAAUCCUGGUGGCGAGUGGCGAACGGGUGAGUAAUAUAUCGGAACGUGCCCAGUAGUGGGGGAUAACUGCUCGAAAGAGCAGCUAAUACCGCAUACGACCUGAGGGUGAAAGGGGGGGACCGCAAGACCUCUCGCUAUUGGAGCGGCCGAUAUCAGAUUAGCUAGUUGGUGGGGUAAAGGCCUACCAAGGCAACGAUCUGUAGUUGGUCUGAGAGGACGACCAGCCACACUGGGACUGAGACACGGCCCAGACUCCUACGGGAGGCAGCAGUGGGGAAUUUUGGACAAUGGGCGCAAGCCUGAUCCAGCAAUGCCGCGUGCAGGAAGAAGGCCUUCGGGUUGUAAACUGCUUUUGUCAGGGAAGAAAUCCUCUAGGUUAAUACCCUUGGGGGGAUGACGGUACCUGAAGAAUAAGCACCGGCUAACUACGUGCCAGCCGCCGCGGUAAUAC
rnacentral:rRNA from 1 species